CCUAACCACUGCUCUUUCACCAAACCUCUCUCCGUCUCUAUUUCUCUGCUUCUCUCUCAACGCCGUUGAUUCGCCAUCGUCGCUACCGUUUGUCUUGAGGUUUACGACUUUUUGGCUAAUCUCCUCUGUGGAGAGCAAUGACUAAUACUCGUGGGACUGAUAUGGCAAAGAAAAAGGAGAAUCUUGAUUGUGAAACGGAUUUCAAGACUCAUGAAUAUACUA